rnacentral:rRNA from 1 species
GGUCAAGAAAAGAAGGGCCGAUGGUGA